rnacentral:rRNA from 1 species
UUUUCGCAAUGCCCGAAAGGGUGACGAAGCGACGCCGCGUGGGUGAGGAAGGCCUUCGGGUUGUAAAGCCCUGUCAGGAGUUAAGAAAUGUAAGUGCGCUAAUACCGCAUUUAUUUGACGAAGGCUCCAAAGGAAGUCACGGCUAACUCUGUGCCAGCAGCCGCGGUAAUACAGAGGUGGCAAGCGUUGUUCGGAAUUAUUGGGCGUAAAGAGCACGUAGGUGGGUUUGUAAGUCAGAUGUGAAAGCCUCCUGUUCAACGGGAGAAUUGCAUCUGAAACUACAGAUCUUGAGUGUAGGAGGGGAGAAUGGAACUUCUGGUGGAGCGGUGAAAUGCGUAGAUAUCAGAAGGAACGCCGGCGGCGAAAGCGAUUCUCUGGCCUAUUACUGACACUCAGUGUGCGAAAGCUAGGGUAGCAAACGGGAUUAGAUACCCCGGUAGUCCUAGCCGUAAACGAUGGGCACUAAGUAGAGGGGUUUUA